UACGGGGGGAGCAAGCGUUGUUCGGAUUUACUGGGCGUAAAGGGCGCGUAGGCGGCCAGCACAAGUCAGUUGUGAAAUCUCCGAGCUUAACUCGGAAAGGUCAACUGAUACUGUGCGACUAGAGUGCAGAAGGGGCAACUGGAAUUCUCGGUGUAGCGGUGAAAUGCGUAGAUAUCGAGAGGAACACCUGCGGCGAAGGCGGGUUGCUGGGCUGACACUGACGCUGAGGCGCGAAAGCCAGGGGAGCGAACGGG
rnacentral:rRNA from 1 species